AUUGAACGCUGGCGGCAGGCCUAACACAUGCAAGUCGAGCGAGCGGCGGACGGGUGAGUAAUGUAUGGGGAUCUGCACGAUAGAGGGGGAUAACUACUGGAAACGGUGGCUAAUACCGCAUACUAUCGGAUGAACCCAGAUGGGAUUAGCUAGGAGGUGGGGUAAAGGCUCACCUAGGCGACGAUCUCUAGCUGGUCUGAGAGGAUGGGCAGAAAGACUGGAACUGAGACACGGCCCAGAGGGGGGAGGGGGGAGGGAGGGGGGGGGGGUGGACGGGGGGCGCAAGCCUGAGGGAGCCAUGCCGCGUGUAUGAAUGGGUGGUUAGGGUGUGGCAGUACUUUCAGCGGGGAGGCGUUCCCCGCCCAAGAAGCACCGGCUAACUCCGUGCCAGCAGCCGCGGUAAUUC
rnacentral:rRNA from 1 species